rnacentral:rRNA from 1 species
UACGGGGGGGGCAAGCGUUGUUCGGAAUUACUGGGCGUAAAGGGCGCGUAGGCGGCCUGCUAAAGUCGGACGUGAAAUCCCUCGGCUCAACCGAGGAACUGCGUCCGAUACUGGUGGGCUUGAAUCCGGGAGAGGGAUGUGGAAUUCCAGGUGUAGCGGUGAAAUGCGUAGAUAUCUGGAGGACACCGGUGGCGAAGGCGGCAUCCUGGACCGGUAUUGACGCUGAGGCGCGAAAGCUAGGGGAGCAAACGGG